AUUGAACGCUGGCGGCAUGCCUUACACAUGCAAGUCGAACGGCAGCACGGGAGCAGUCCUGGUGGCGAGUGGCGAACGGGUGAGUAAUAUAUCGGAACGUGCCCAGUCGUGGGGGAUAACGCAGCGAAAGCUGUGCUAAUACCGCAUACGGUCUACGGAUGAAAGCGGGGGAUCGCAAGACCUCGCGCGAUUGGAGCGGCCGAUAUCAGAUUAGCUAGUUGGUGGGGUAAAGGCCCACCAAGGCGACGAUCUGUAGCUGGUCUGAGAGGACGACCAGCCACACUGGAACUGAGACACGGUCCAGACUCCUACGGGAGGCAGCAGUGGGGAAUUUUGGACAAUGGGCGCAAGCCUGAUCCAGCAAUGCCGCGUGCAGGAUGAAGGCCUUCGGGUUGUAAACUGCUUUUGUACGGAACGAAACGGCUCCUUCUAAUAAAAGGGGCUAAUGACGGUACCGUAAGAAUAAGCACCGGCUAACUACGUGCCAGCCGCCGCUGUAAAAC
rnacentral:rRNA from 1 species